rnacentral:rRNA from 1 species
UGCCCCCUCCCCCGGGAUAGCCGCCCGAAAGGACGGGUAAUACCGGAUACCCCGGGGUGCCGCAUGGCACCCCGGCUAAAGCCCCGACGGGAGGGGAUGGCUCCGCGGCCCAUCAGGUAGACGGCGGGGUGACGGCCCACCGUGCCGACAACGGGUAGCCGGGUUGAGAGACCGACCGGCCAGAUUGGGACUGAGACACGGCCCAGACUCCUACGGGAGGCAGCAGUGGGGAAUCUUGCGCAAUGGGGGGAACCCUGACGCAGCGACGCCGCGUGCGGGACGGAGGCCUUCGGGUCGUAAACCGCUUUCAGCAGGGAAGAGUCAAGACUGUACCUGCAGAAGAAGCCCCGGCUAACUACGUGCCAGCAGCCGCGGUAAUACGUAGGGGGCGAGCGUUAUCCGGAUUCAUUGGGCGUAAAGCGCGCGUAGGCGGCCCGGCAGGCCGGGGGUCGAAGCGGGGGGCUCAACCCCCCGAAGCCCCCGGAACCUCCGCGGCUUGGGUCCGGUAGGGGAGGGUGGAACACCCGGUGUAGCGGUGGAACGCGCAGAUAUCGGGUGGAACACCGGUGGCGAAGGCGGCCCUCUGGGCCGAGACCGACGCUGAGGCGCGAAAGCUGGGGGAGCGAACAGGAUUAGAUACCCUGGUAGUCCCAGCCGUAAACGAUGGACGCUAGGUGUGGGGGGACGAUCCCCCCGUGCCGCAG